GAUGAACGCUGGCGGCGUGCCUAAUACAUGCAAGUCGAGCGAACGGACGAGAAGCUUGCUUCUCUGAUGUUAGCGGCGGACGGGUGAGUAACACGUGGAUAACCUACCUAUAAGACUGGGAUAACUUCGGGAAACCGUAGCUAAUACCGGAUAAUAUUUUGAACGGCAUGGUUCAAAAGUGAAAGACGGUCUUGCUGUCACUUAUAGAUGGAUCCGCGCUGCAUUAGCUAGUUGGUAAGGUAACGGCUUACCAAGGCAACGAUGCAUAGCCGACCUGAGAGGAUGAUCAGCCACACUGGAACUGAGACACGGUCCAGACUCCUACGGGAGGCAGCAGUAGGGAAUCUUCCGCAAUGGGCGCAAGCCUGACGGAGCCACGCCGCGUGAGUGAUGAAGGUCUUCGGAUCGUAAAACUCUGUUAUUAGGGAAGAACAGAUGUGUAAGUAACUGUGCACAUCUUGACGGUACCUAAUCAGAAAGCCCCGGCUAACUACGUG
rnacentral:rRNA from 1 species